rnacentral:rRNA from 1 species
CCCCUAGAUGUUCUGGGCCGCACGCGCGCUACACUGAACAGUUCAACAAGUCUUAACCUUGGCCGAUAGGUCUGGGUAAUCUUUGAACGCUGUUCGUGAUUGGGAUAGACCUUUGCAAUUAUGGGUCUUCAACGAGGAAUUCCUAGUAAACGCAAGUCAUCAGCUUGCAUUGUUUACGUCCCUGCCCUUUGUACACACCGCCCGUCGCACCUACCGAUUGAAUGGUCCGGUGAAAUCUCGGGACGGCGGCUUGGUCGCUUGCGUCCGACUGCUGAAACUUGAUUAAACCAUAUCAUUUAGAGGAAGGUGAANUCGUAACA